CAUUAUACGGCGAAACUGCGAAUGGCUCAUUAUAUCAGUUAUCGUUUAUUUGAUAGUACCUUACUACUUGGAUAACCGUGGUAAUUCUAGAGCUAAUACAUGCUUAAAGCCUCGACUUCACGAAGGGGCGUAUUUAUUAGAUUAAAAACCAAUGCCCUUCGGGGCUCUUUGGUGAUUCAUAAUAACUUUUCGAAUCGCAUGGCCUUGCGCCGGCGAUGGUUCAUUCAAAUUUCUGCCCUAUCAACUUUCGAUGGCAGGGUCUUGGCCUGCCAUGGUGACAACGGGUAACGGAGGGUUAGGGCUCGACCCCGGAGAAGGAGCCUGAGAAACGGCUACUACAUCCAAGGAAGGCAGCAGGCGCGCAAAUUACCCAAUCCCGACUCGGGGAGGUAGUGACAAUAAAUACUGAUACAGGGCUCUUUUGGGUCUUGUAAUUGGAAUGAGUACAAUUUAAAUCCCUUAACGAGGAACAAUUGGAGGGCAAGUCUGGUGCCAGCAGCCGCGGUAAUUCCAGCUCCAAUAGCGUAUAUUAAAGUUGUUGCAGUUAAAAAGCUCGUAGUUGAACCUUGGGCCUGGCUGGCCGGUCCGCCUCACCGCGUGCACUGGUUCGGCCGGGCCUUUCCCUCUGGGGAACCGCAUGCCCUUCACUGGGUGUGUCGGGGAACCAGGACUUUUACUGUGAAAAAAUUAGAGUGUUCAAAGCAGGCCUAUGCUCGAAUACAUUAGCAUGGAAUAAUAGAAUAGGACGUGUGGUUCUAUUUUGUUGGUUUCUAGGACCGCCGUAAUGAUUAAUAGGGACAGUCGGGGGCAUCAGUAUUCAAUUGUCAGAGGUGAAAUUCUUGGAUUUAUUGAAGACUAACUACUGCGAAAGCAUUUGCCAAGGAUGUUUUCAUUAAUCAGGAACGAAAGUUAGGGGAUCGAAGACGAUCAGAUACCGUCGUAGUCUUAACCAUAAACUAUGCCGACUAGGGAUCGGGCGAUGUUAUUAUUUGACUCGCUCGGCACCUUACGARAAAUCCAAAGUCUUU
rnacentral:rRNA from 1 species